GUUCUGUUUCUUUCUCUGUUAGAAAGGCAAAAUGGUAUUCAACCUUCAUAAUGAUGGAACACAUUGAUUUACUGUCUUGGUAUCCUUUUGAACAAAUUCUUCAAUCAAUUUGACAACGGAAUCCGGUCUUUCAACAUGAGGAAGAUGACCACAAUCGGGUAUUUGGCGUAUAAUUGACUCAGGUAAUUCACAGUGCAGUCGCUGAAGAGUAAAAAUCAAAAGUUAAUUAGAGCAAUAGUAUUGGCAGGGAAUAUCAUCUCCUAGCAGUGAAACUAACUGAAACAAAAUUUAAAGGUGUUAAUAUAUCGAGGUGUCUAUAUUAUAUAUCAAGACCGUGAUUUUCCAGCUUGUCAUAUAAUAUAGAGGUGUACUAACUUACCACUGCAAGCUUAUUGCUGAUUAUUUGGUCAUUCUCCCCCC